AGUGAACGCUGGCGGUAGGCCUAACACAUGCAAGUCGAGCGGCAGCACAGUAAGAGCUUGCUCUUACGGGUGGCGAGUGGCGGACGGGUGAGGAAUACAUCGGAAUCUACUUUUUCGUGGGGGAUAACGUAGGGAAACUUACGCUAAUACCGCAUACGACCUACGGGUGAAAGCAGGGGAUCUUCGGACCUUGCGCGAUUGAAUGAGCCGAUGUCGGAUUAGCUAGUUGGCGGGGUAAAGGCCCACCAAGGCGACGAUCCGUAGCUGGUCUGAGAGGAUGAUCAGCCACACUGGAACUGAGACACGGUCCAGACUCCUACGGGAGGCAGCAGUGGGGAAUAUUGGACAAUGGGCGCAAGCCUGAUCCAGCCAUACCGAGUGGGUGAAGAAGGCCUUCGGGUUGUAAAGACCUUUUGUUGGGAAAGAAAAGCAGCAGGUUAAUACCCCGCUGUUCUGACGGUAACCAAAGAAUAAGCACCGGCUAACUUCGUG
rnacentral:rRNA from 1 species